UUCGAGCUCAUCUGCGGCGGUGCCACCCUCC
rnacentral:piRNA from 1 species